UGCAGUCGAGCGGUAACAGGAGAAGCUUGCUUCUCGCUGACGAGCGGCGGACGGGUGAGUAAUACUUAGGAAUCUACCUAGUAGUGGGGGAUAGCACGGGGAAACUCGUAUUAAUACCGCAUACGACCUACGGGAGAAAGGGGGCAGUUUACUGCUCUCGCUAUUAGAUGAGCCUAAGUCGGAUUAGCUAGAUGGUGGGGUAAAGGCCUACCAUGGCGACGAUCUGUAGCUGGUCUGAGAGGAUGAUCAGCCACACCGGGACUGAGACACGGCCCGGACUCCUACGGGAGGCAGCAGUGGGGAAUAUUGGACAAUGGGGGAAACCCUGAUCCAGCCAUGCCGCGUGUGUGAAGAAGGCCUUUUGGUUGUAAAGCACUUUAAGCAGUGAAGAAGACUCCAUGGUUAAUACCCAUGGACGAUGACAUUAGCUGCAGAAUAAGCACCGGCUAACUCUGUGCCAGCAGCCGCGGUAAUACAGAGGGUGCAAGCGUUAAUCGGAAUUACUGGGCGUAAAGGGAGCGUAGGUGGCUCUAUAAGUCAGAUGUGAAAUCCCCGGGCUUAACCUGGGAACUGCAUCUGAAACUGUAGAGCUAGAGUAUGUGAGAGGAAGGUAGAAUUCCAGGUGUAGCGGUGAAAUGCGUAGAGAUCUGGAGGAAUACCGAUGGCGAAGGCAGCCUUCUGGCAUAAUACUGACACUGAGGCUCGAAAGCGUGGGUAGCAAACAGGAUUAGAUACCCUGGUAGUCCACGCCGUAAACGAUGUCUACUAGUCGUUGGGUCCCUUGAGGACUUAGUGACGCAGCUAACGCAAUAAGUAGACCGCCUGGGGAGUACGGCCGCAAGGUUAAA
rnacentral:rRNA from 1 species